rnacentral:rRNA from 1 species
UACGAAGGGGGCUAGCGUUGCUCGGAAUCACUGGGCGUAAAGGGUGCGUAGGCGGGUCUUUUAAGUCAGGGGUGAAAUCCUGGAGCUCAACUCCAGAACUGCCUUCGAUACUGGAAAGCUCGAGUCCGGAAGAGGUGAGUGGAACUCCUAGUGUAGAGGUGGAAUUCGUAGAUAUUAGGAAGAACACCAGUGGCGAAGGCGGCUCACUGGUCCGGUACUGACGCUGAGGUGCGAAAGCGUGGGGAGCAAACAGG